rnacentral:lncRNA from 1 species
UAAUCCAUGAAAUUACACUUUACACUUUGUCUAAGUCGUUAGUGGAGCGUGUGUGGUUAACCGGCACACUAACUUGGACUUAACAAGGUAGGUAAAGGGUGACUUAAUAUUUAUCAUAGUAUCGAUGGAGCGUGUGUGGUUAACCGGCACAUCGAUUGAGGGGUAAUUUAUUAAGGGUACCAAGUGAUUUGCAUGGUUACUUCACACCUUGUUUUGUGAUCCUCGGCAUCCCAGUCACAAAACCUGAAGGGCACACUCGAGAUUGAAACAUGCCUUUGAAAAGUUCAAUGAAUCUCAAAGAUCUAGGAGUUUCAAAACCAAUUAAAACCUAAUAAUACAUUUCGUUUAUCUUGGUGGAAAUUGGUGAAUCGUCAUUCACCUACCUUCAAAUAUUUUAUAGCUUGGAUUACGGCAUACCUCUUCUAAGUUAUAAAAUAGUUUGUUGGGUCCUAGCCUUAAUAUUUCAUAUUGGGUGUCAUAUUAAGGACUUUAAAUCAACUAUCUUGAAUAUCUCCCAAAAGUUGUCUGGUUUAGGCACCUAUGAUCUUCCCAAAUCUUUUGAAACAAGGUUUCCUAAUGAAGAUGAUGUCCAAUGGAUAUCAUACUUAUUUCUCCUCCUCCAACUAUUCUCCCUAACCUACAUGUUCUCAAAAAAUUAAGGUCACUCAGGCCCUAUUGGCAAGGCAAGGUCUAGGUGUGGUCACAUCUUGGAGAUGUAGUCACAUAUUGACAAGCCGGGAGAGUUGGGUGUCAAAGUCUUGAGAAAGUUGGUGGUUCAACUACUUUCUAAGUCACAUAGUGAGUUCUUUUGGAACACCUAUGAAAAAGACUAUGACAAGACCCUUAAUGAUCUUAUCUAUUUGUUAAGAUCAACUUCCUAAAACUUUAUGGACAUUGACAAUGAUGACAUUGGAUAUCCAGUAAAGCAUUCUCUUCCCAAUGGAAAGGGAUCGGCUAUAGUCAACUCGGUUGACCAAAUGGUAAAGAGAAAAGCUAAGUCUGUGAUAGUCCUGUGUACCAUUAUCAAAGGGUCCAUAUGUUUGUAUUGCCAAAGAAAGGGCAUUGGUUGCGAAGCUGCCAAAUUUACCUAAGGAUGUUAAAGUCAAUAAGUUUGACUCUACUUCAGGUAAAAUCCACUAUCUAACUCUGUUAAGUUUCUAUUCUGAGAUUCUUGAUACAUGAUGUGACCGGGUCGCAUGGUGAUGGUUUAAGAAUCAAAGGAAAGUGAAGAAACUUAAAGGAAGAAUAUGCUGAAUCUGAUCGCAUAGAUGGAUUUCUAUCGCAUAGUUUGAAAAAUCGGAUUCUUGAGCUACUUCUUAGGAGUUAUGAGAUAUUGCUUAGGAAUAGAUAACAACAAGUUUUCAUAUGGAUUGUAAGGAUAGUUUUUCCGCAAAGUUUUAAAAUAAAAGGAAAUUUUUGAUUUUAUUUAUUUUAAAAUAUCCUUACAAUGGCAUCUGUGGAAAUUUUUGUUGCUUAUAAGAUUCCAUUAGUAGCAAGAGUGGAAGUAUGAAAUUGAUUCUUUCAUUUGUGGUAAUGUCUAAAUUUACCAAAUAAGGAAAGAUUCUCAUCACCCAAGUUUCAAUUGGACCGGAACUUGGAAUCAUGCAAGUUGUAUAGCAUGAUGAAUGAGAACUUUCAAGUUUUGGAAAAUUAAGACUAAUUACUUGUUCACAUGGAUGUGUGAGUCAAGUAAAGGACUUAGGGAUCGAGUACACAUUCUUGUGCACUGAUUAAGUCCACCACUAAAGAUCGAUAAGAAGAAUCAAAUAAGGCAGAAGGAUAAAAGUUUCUCAAAUCUGAAAAGAUGGGAGAGUACUUUAGUAUCAGUUUUGUGAUCAUCUUAAUGAUUAAGAAACCAUAUCAAAAUUAGUUCUCUAAGGAAAUCUUAGUGCAUUCUUAUGACUAAGAAGAGGAACUUGAAUUGUUGAAAUGGUUAAAUCAAGAAGAUGAGUCAUACUUCGUUCCAAUACAAGUCUUAGAGUCAUACUCCAAGAUUGUCAUUUGAGUGACAUGUCUUAAAGAAGGUUUAAAACACUUGUCAAAUGUAAGAGUAAAAGUUUUCUACUCUUGUACAUUUGAAAUUGGUAAGUUGUGAUGUUUUGGAUAAAACAAAGACCAACUUAGGCCAAUUGGGUAAAGUGUUUUUCUUGAUUAGAAUCCGCACUAUCUCUUGGAUGUUUGACAAGGGAGUCUUAUAUGUCAAGAGGACAGUGGGAGUCUUAAAGGUCUUGAAAGUCUCAAGAAAUAAUCAAGAAUAAAACCUAAAGUUCUUCACUAGCACACGACUUGAGGUUCAUAACCUAUCGUGUUGACAUAUUCUGUGCCCAUUCCAGUUAAAGUUGGUUUUGCAUAUGAGUUCUUAGAGUUCUCAAUUUGUUGCACAACAACUUGGAAGCAAUGGCAGGCCCUUGAGCUGCCAGGUGGCAAGAAGUUAAGAUUGAGUUCAAUCCAUAUGGUUUUGGAUUUGUCAUUAUCUUUGUCUUGUGAUUAUGGUUUGACAAAUUCAUAUGGGUAGGAACUCAUACACCAUAUAAAUCUAAGUGUCAUAAGGUUUCUCUCCGAUUCAUGAAAAUGAUGGUGAGGAAACGCUUUCACUAAGUAGAUUUUACGAAGAUAUCAAUUGUGUUAUUUGCAUUUUCAAAAGUCGUUAGUGGAGCGCGUGUGGUUAACCGGCACACUAACAUGGACUUGUGAGAAAUGGCAAAUGCCUAAGCAAUUGAGACCAUGAUUACGGUAUCCCUUUUCAUGGUUCUUGAAAUUGCUUAGACACACAGGUGAGCUAUCUACGGAAAGGGUGUAUGAAUCUAAAUUUCAGACUGUCCAGCUGAUUUCUGAGUACAUGUCAAAGCUAGUGGGAGCAUAAGUGUUAUGCUAAUAAUCAUCAUGUUAGUGGGAGCAUGAUAAUUAUGAUAAGUAUUGCAAGUUAGCAAUGUUAAUUAUAGAAAACAAAAGUUUCAAUUGGGAAAAAGUUGUUUUGCUAUAAUUAAGGGAGAGGAAAUUAUGCUUCAUCUCAAAUCUAUAAGCUUAGAUCGUGAGGUUUUAAUCAUUUAGUCAAGGAUAUAUAUGAAUUUCAUGUUGGAAUGGCUCAACAUAAGGAAAUUCUGUAUAUGGGUCCAUUAUUUGCGUUCUAAAAUUCGAUUAUGAUUACGGCAUCCCUUUUCAUAAUCUGAAUUAUGAGAACUUGGCAAAUUGAAAUGGAAAUAUUAUAGCAAAAGACUGGUUUAGUCUUUAUGUAAGACAUCAUGAAUCGUGUCCCAUAUGCUUCGGAUAUAGGAUCGAUUACAUGUGCUAUAUUCAUCCGUUCUAAAAUUUUCCAAAUGCCUGGGGCAUUAAGAAGGGAAAAGGUUUAGAACUGGAUAUGACUAAAAGGAUUAAACAAUUGUCGAGGACAAUCUAAGGUUUACCAAAGAUUGGUUACUCAAGGACAAUUGGAAGUAUAGUGAUAAUUCUGGAAGGACCAUAUUGACAUAAUCUGUAAGGAGGCAACUCUUGUUCAGAAGUGAUAGUCAAAAUGGAAUCUGGAAAUGUUUCAAAGUUAGAAUUUUCAAUCUGUGUAAGAUUAAGGAAACUUAAUGCAAGAAGGAUAUUUCCAAGGAGUUGAUCUCCUUUGGAAUACUCUGUAAUGAUUGUUGCCAAGUCUUUGUGACUUUGUGCAUAAUCAUUACAAGAGGAUCAAUGCAUAUAAGUUUAGAAUCUAACAGAUUUCAGUAAAUGGCAUGAAUUUGGAAUUCUUGCAUUUGCAGUAAGGAUUUGGGAGUGUGAAAAGAGAAUCAUUGAAGUUAUGUUCAAUUGAUCUAGUUCACAAAGUAAAGAUCAUAGACAAACAUAGUAUGCAUACUUGGUGUGUGGCAUGACUAGUGUUUAAGAAAACAUAGUGUACAUGCUUGGAGCAUGGGACAACUAUUGUUUUAAAUUCAAGAAUAAAGUUGAUAGCUGAAACAGUAUACAAUGAAUAAUGUGUAAUCAUAUGGUGAUAAAUAAAAGGUGUUUUAUUUAUGUUCAAAGGGUUGAUACCAUAUUGGAUUCAAUUAUUAUUGUGUUUCAUUUUGCAUGUUUUGACUUCCCGAAUAAACUGGGUUAUUCUUCCGGAAUGACUAAGUUAUUCAAACCAUCCACAGUCGGUCAUAUGUUGGAAGUAGAUAUGAAUUAAGACUGUCAUGGGUUGGCUUGUAGAGGUCUAAGGUGUUGGACAAAGGGCUACAACACUCAUGAGUGCUCAUAAGUUCUGAGUAUUGGAUUCAACCCGCGCUCAUUGGAAUCACUUCAUGGAUUUUAUCACGAGUGAUCAUGAGACGAUAAUAUCUUAUAUUCUUCAAACCUAGAGAUAUGAGUUGUUACUAUGAGUUGAUAGUACAUUGAUUGCACGAAAACGCAUUUGGUAACUCGGUGCUAUAAAACGUGCCUUUGUGUAUGAUUCAACAAGUAGUAGAACAAGCCAUAUGAGUCGAAGUUUAUCCAUUCCUUUUACCUUCGGGAUAAAAGCGAUAUCUGUGGGCCCCUCGAUGAUUUGAUGAUGACAAAUGGAAGUGCUCGGCCGGGCCAGGACUGAUUUGAUUUGUUCAAUUAGUCAGUCGUCAUAAAUCGGAAAUCGGGAAACAACAAAUGGACAGAGAGAAUGAUUAUAAUCCAUGUCUCAGUCCAUAUGAUAUCUAGAAUGGAGGAAUAUAUGAUCCCUUAUCUAAUGGACAAGUCAUUGACAAAGGUCAGAGUUCAUCUACAAGGUCAGAGUUCGACAGAAGCUUUUGAGAGCUACGAUUGCCAGUUGGUUCCUGAAGUCAUACGCAAUAAUAGUUUUAGACUUAUCCAAGUGGGAGACUGUUGGAUUAAUGUCUAAGUCCAUAACUAUAAUUGGUAAGACUUGACCCGACCCGGCAUGGUCCAUUUGGGUUGCAUACCAUCAUGCACUUGGAUAGACUAUAAUGAGAGAAAUAAGACACUUAUGGUUAUUAAUAUAUUAUAAGUUCUAGUAUAUUAAUAAUAAGAAUAAUAAGAUUAUUUAAUUAGUAUUGAUCAAGAAUUAAUCUAGGAUUAAUUAAGUGAUCAAAAGAAGACUAAUUAAAUAUAUGGGUUGAUUGUGUAAAUCAUCCAUACUUGUAUAGUGGGCUAAUGCUCCAUGGAUAAUCAAGUUGGGCUAAAACCCAUAGGAUGGUCCAUGGAUGCUCCAUGGUGUAUUUGUACCCAUGGAUCCAAGGAAAUGGAAAGCCAUGACAAUUAAGAGUUUACCCUAAUUGUGUAACUAUAUAAGCAUCUUAUUAUUGAGGAAAAAUCGGCCACUAGUGAUAGUGAAGAAAGGGCUAGCCGAUUUUGAAGAGUGUAGAAUUCUCUCAAGUCAUUCCAAGUGUUUUGAUGAUUGUGAUUCCAUUUGAGGUGUCACACUUGGGGCACUAGGCACUCAAGCUUCAUGAAGACUUUCUACAUCAAAGAGGUAUGUAUUCUAUCUUGUUAUAGUCAUUGUUUUGUAUGCUAGAUUAGGAUAAUACCUUGGAAGUUCUUAUUUGCAUGUAUAAUAGAGAAAACAUAGAUCCAAGGUAUUUAGGGUUGCAUGUACACUUAGGAGUGUUAGAAUGCUCAAAACCCAACAGUGGUAUCAGAGCCUAGGCUUGUUUUCUUGUUAUACCUGCAAUAGAAGCUGAAAAAACGAAUCUGGUGCUGUCUGGCCAUCAGACUCGGCGAGUCCAUCAGGAGACUCGACGAGUCCAUGCCUAAAAAGUGAUGAAUUCGAUCCAACUCGCCGAGUUUGUUCAUGCACUCGACGAGUUGGACCCCCAGACAGCAUAUUUUCGAGUUUUUUGGCUAGAAAUGGACUAGGAACAUUACCCUAAGUUGUUUUUGAACUUAUAAACUUGUUUUUGAUGUGGUAAUGUUCAUGCUAAUCCAUUUUCAAAGAUAAUUGUCAAUAGAUUCAUGUUUUGUAUUAGUUUAAGGUUUAGACUAAUUACAUGAAAAAGUUUGAUUUGAAUUAUCUUGUUCUUAUGAGUUGCUUAGAUUAAUAGAAAUGUUGAGUGAAAUAGUUGUUUUCAAUCCAUUUUAAUCUAAGAGUUGAGUAUAAAAUGUGUUUGUGUAACUUGUCCUCAAGUUACAUGAAGAGUCACAUUAAAGACUCAUAAAACUCAUAAAAGUUGGCAAUGGUUACAAAAUGAAGAGUCUUGUGUCAUUGAAUAAUUUUUUUUGACUCCAUAACUUGUCCUCAAGUUAUGGAAGUUCAAGAGUCACUUCAUUAAAGAAAAAUAUGUAACCAUAAUUAAAUCCAUAAGUUAUAAAAUAAAGAAAAAGUUAGUUCUUUUAUUAGUUUAAAGUCUUCCAUAACUUGUCCUCAAGUUAUGGAACUUGAAGAGUUUUUGGAUUAAAACUACUUUAAACACAUAAGUUAUGGAAUUAAUUAGUUUUGAAUAGUUUCAAAACUUGCCCUCAAGUUUUGGAAUUUGAAAAGUUUUCAAGUAUGAAUACUUUAAUUCCAAGUUAGCCCUUAGAAUUUUAAAAGUUAAAAUUCAACCCUUAUACUUUAUAAUAUUAUAAGUUAAUAAUAUAUAUAUGUAUAAGAGUAAAGUCAGUCUUACCGCUAGUACGCCUCAUUCACGAAGCCGGUCUAUAAGGUGGGUAUAAGGUUGUUGCCUAUAAAAUGGCAACUUAAUGGGUGUCCACUCUCACCCACCGCUUGCUUGACUGGUGGAGGGUCGUUAGCCGAACGGGUUUGACAGGACUAGAAUUCUCCCUUCAUUAAAAGUAUUAAUGAUAAUACUAAGUAACUAAACUCUUAAUAAUACCCAAUCUUAGUUACUUAGGAAAAAUGUGAAUAAGGUGCUAAUCCAUGAAAUUACACUUUACACUUUGUCUAAGUCGUUAGUGGAGCGUGUGUGGUUAACCGGCACACUAACUUGGACUUAACAAGGUAGGUAAAGGGUGACUUAAUAUUUAUCAUAGUAUCGAUGGAGCGUGUGUGGUUAACCGGCACAUCGAUUGAGGGGUAAUUUAUUAAGGGUACCAAGUGAUUUGCAUGGUUACUUCACACCUUGUUUUGUGAUCCUCGGCAUCCCAGUCACAAAACCUGAAGGGCACACUCGAGAUUGAAACAUGCCUUUGAAAAGUUCAAUGAAUCUCAAAGAUCUAGGAGUUUCAAAACCAAUUAAAACCUAAUAAUACAUUUCGUUUAUCUUGGUGGAAAUUGGUGAAUCGUCAUUCACCUACCUUCAAAUAUUUUAUAGCUUGGAUUACGGCAUACCUCUUCUAAGUUAUAAAAUAGUUUGUUGGGUCCUAGCCUUAAUAUUUCAUAUUGGGUGUCAUAUUAAGGACUUUAAAUCAACUAUCUUGAAUAUCUCCCAAAAGAUGUCUGGUUUAGACACCUAUGAUCUUCCCAAAUCUCUUGAAACAAGGUUUCCUAAUGAAGAUGAUGUCCCAUGGAUAUCAUACUUCUUCACCUCUUCAAAUUAUUCUCCCUAACCCACAAGUUCUUGAAAAGUUUAAGGUCACUCAGGCCCUAUUAGCAAGGCAAGGUCUAGGUGUGGUCACAUCUUGGAGAUGUAGUCACAUAUUGACAAGCCGGGAGAGUUGGGUGUCAAAGUCUUGAGAAAGUUGGUGGUUCAACCACUUUCUAAGUCACAUAGUGAGUUCCUUUGGGACACCUAUGAAACAGACUAUGACAAGACCCUUAAUGAUCUUAUCUAUUUGCUAAGAUCAACUUCCUAAAACUUUAUGG